rnacentral:rRNA from 1 species
UGGGGAAUUUUGGACAAUGGGCGAAAGCCUGAUCCAGCAAUGCCGCGUGUGUGAAGAAGGCCUUCGGGUUGUAAAGCACUUUUGUCCGGAAAGAAAUCCUUGGCUCUAAUACAGUCGGGGGAUGACGGUACCGGAAGAAUAAGCACCGGCUAACUACGUGCCAGCAGCCGCGGUAAUACGUAGGGUGCAAGCGUUAAUCGGAAUUACUGGGCGUAAAGCGUGCGCAGGCGGUUUGCUAAGACCGAUGUGAAAUCCCCGGGCUCAACCUGGGAACUGCAUUGGUGACUGGCAGGCUAGAGUAUGGCAGAGGGGGGUAGAAUUCCACGUGUAGCAGUGAAAUGCGUAGAGAUGUGGAGGAAUACCGAUGGCGAAGGCAGCCCCCUGGGCCAAUACUGACGCUCAUGCACGAAAGCGUGGGGAGCAAACAGGAUUAGAUACCCUGGUAGUCCACGCCCUAAACGAUGUCAACUAGUUGUGGGAUUCAUUUCCUUAGUAACGUAGCUAACGCGUGAAGUUGACCGCCU